CGAGUGGUCGGGACGAUUAUUGGGCCUAAAGCAUCCGUAGCUGGUCCUACAAGUCUUCCGUUAAAUCCACCUGCUUAACAGAUGGGCUGCGGAAGAUACUAUAGGGCUAGGAGGCGGGAGAGGCAAGCGGUACUCAGUGGGUAGGGGUAAAAUCCUCUGAUCCAUUGAAGACCACCAGUGGCGAAGGCGGCUUGCCAGAACGCGCUCGACGGUGAGGGAUGAAAGCUGGGGGAGCAAACCGG
rnacentral:rRNA from 1 species